CCACAACUGCUGAGCCCGAGUGCUUUAGAGACCGUGCUCCACAAAGAGACAAGUCACUGCACUGAGAAGCCCCUGCACUGCAACUGGAGAGUAGCUCCCGCUUGCUGAAACUAGAGGAAGCCCAUGCUCAGCAACAAAGACCCAGGCAGCCAAAACCUGCCAGGCUCCUCUGUCCAUGGGGAUUCUCCAGGCAAGAAAACUGGAGUGGGUCGCCGUGCCCUCUUUCAAGGGGAUCUUCCCUACCCAGGGAUCAAACCCAUAUCUCCUGUGACUCCUGCGUUGCAGGCGAAUUCUUUAUCCCUGAGCCACUGGGGAAGCCCCACAUACAACCUACAGCAGGUAUGAUAAUCUCUAGGUCCAUCCACGUUGCUGCGAAUGGCAUCGUUUCCUUAGCAGCUCAACCCUUCUUAAAGCAGCAUGGCUGCUUGAGGCUUGGCCUGCAGAAAAGACUCAGGACCCUUGGGCUGGCCCUUGCUGCAGAAACAUGAAGCAGCUGCUUCCUCAGGCCUCCAAGGACUCGCACGGUGAUGCAGGAAGGUCUCCGAGUGUCAACAAUGCUGUCUUGUUAAAAGACAAAGAAUAGAUGAGGCUUUUGUUUUCCUUGGAACUGGACUGACUGACUUCCAGCAGCGUCCUACAAAAGAGGAUGUCCUAUGGGAAGGGGUCGAGGUGGGAUUGGAGAGUCAAAAGUUCAAGGGUUAUAUGGCCAUUCUGCCACCAAUUCAUCGUGACUCACAGUUUCCUGGGUUAUGUAUUAUUUUUCUACUUAUACACCUAUGGAUUUGUAAAUAAAAGCAAGCCCCUUAGUUAGGGAAAGAAUAUAGAAUACGUGUUUCUAUUCUAAAUGAGAGAAAUACCUGUAUUCACUCCAAUUUCUUUUUUCAUGGAGAGAUAUACACAGAAAUAAAAU
ensembl:lncRNA